UACGGAGGGUGCGAGCGUUAAUCGGAAUUACUGGGCGUAAAGGGUGCGUAGGUGGUUGAUUAAGUUAUCUGUGAAAUCCCUGGGCUUAACCUGGGCAGGUCAGAUGAUACUGAUUGACUCGAGUAUGGGAGAGGGUAGUGGAAUUUCCGGUGUAGCGGUGAAAUGCGUAGAGAUCGGAAGGAACACCAGUGGCGAAGGGCGGCUACCUGGCCUAAUACUGACACUGAGGCACGGAAAGCGAUGGGG
rnacentral:rRNA from 1 species